GUGUGUUUUGUUAGGUUAUGUGAGUUUAGGUUAGGUUGGUCAGGUUAGGAUAGGUUAGGAGUGUGUUUUGUUAGGUUAUGUUAGGUUAGGUUAGGUUGGUCAGGUUAGGAUAGGUUAGGAGUGUGUUUUGUUAGGUUAUGUUAGGUUAGGUUAGGUUGGUCAGGUUAGGAUAGGUUAGGAGUGUGUUUUGUUAGGUUAUGUUAGGUUAGGUUAGGUUGGUCAGGUUAGGAUAGGUUAGGAGUGUGUUUUGUUAGGUUAUGUUAGGUUAGGUUAGGUUGGUCAGGUUAGGAUAGGUUAGGAGUGUGUUUUGUUAGGUUAUGUUAGGUUAGGUUAGGUUGGUCAGGUUAGGAUAGGUUAGGAGUGUGUUUCGUAAGGUUAUGUUAGGUUAGGUUAGGUUGGUCAGGUUAGGAUAGGUUAGGAGUGUGUUUUGUAAGGUUAUGUUAGGUUAGGUUAGGUUGGUCAGGUUAAGUAAAGUUAGGUUAGGUCAGUCAGGUUAGGUCAGGUAUGUUUGGUUCUUUUAAAACACAAACACAUUAGGUUAGGUUAGGUUAGGUUAGGUUACAAUGGUUAGGUUAGGUUAGGUUAGGUUUACUAGUUAGGAAAAUAUCUGGUGGUCACACACACACACACACACACACACACACA